rnacentral:lncRNA from 1 species
GCGCGGCGCUUCCCUCAAGCUGGGCUUUAAGAUAGUUAAACUUUUGGAUUGGCGUUAAUGUGUCGUUGUAGUGUAUAGAUGACUCGAAACAAUCCCAAAAUGUCUGCCACUUGAGAAUAUCUCCAUUAAAAUAGGGUAAGUCUAACUUUGGAAGCCUAUGGUAAUUAGUUUUUGAAGAUCUCGGUUCUGACGGGACUUGAAACAUGACAUUCUCUGACGGACGGGUAUGCACUGCAGGGGCGUUAAUUGAAUACUGCUGGUUCAUAGAAUCUAUUGCACAUCUGUUCAUAUCAACUCUAGCUUCGGGUGUGAAAUUAUAUGCGUCUGGGUUAAGUCUGCUCGUUGAAGGACCAACAGUAUCAUGCGAAAUUAUAGUAUUUGUUUCAAAGGACUUAAUAAAUUUCCGAAUUUGUCUAAUUUUGCAAUCAAGUUCGUACAUAUACUCAUCUGAGUCGGUGAUUUCCUGCUCCAGAUUUUCCUCCGAUGUCUGUUCCAAAAGUCUGUUAUUCAGGUCAAUCAAUGUUUUCUGUUUCUGCG